AAGCCUAAAAGACUAAAAAGAAAGUCUCUAGAACAAUGAAAUAAAAGAAAAGAGAAAAGAGGAGAAGAACAAAACCAACAAAUAAAGAACAAAAGGAACAUGAGUGUAAAGAGAGGUGUAGGUAGUUAGGAAUAGAAAGAAAACUAAAAUAUCCUAACAAAAAUAUUAAACUACAAUUUUAAAGGAACAAAAUAACUAAAAUACACCUACCAAAU
rnacentral:lncRNA from 1 species